GGUGGGGAUUGUCCCACUCUGCUCUGCGUUGGUGCGACCUCACUUUGAAUAUUGUGUGCAGUUUUGGGCACUACAGUAUAAGAAAGACAUUAAGCUGCUAGAGAGUAUCCAAAAGAGGGCAAAGAAGAUCAUGAAGGGGCUUGAGGGGAAGCUGUAUGAGGAGCGGGUGAGGUCACUUGGUCUGUUCAUCCUGGAGAAGAGGAGACUGAGGGAAGACCUCAUUGCAGUUACAACUUCCUCGUAAGGCGAAGAGAAGGAUCAGGCAUUGACCUCUUUUCUGUGGUGACCAAUGACAGGACCCAAGGAAAUGGCCUGAAGUUGUGUCAGGGGAGGUUUAGGUUGAAUGUUAGGAAAAGGUUCUUCACCCAGGUGGCUGGGUGCUGGAACAGGCUAGGGAAGUGGUCACAACACCAAACCUGACAGAGUUCAAGAAACAUUUGGACAAUACUCUCAGACACAUAGUGUUACUCCUGGGGAUAGUCCUGUGCAGAUCUAGAAGCUGGACUCAAUGAUCUUUGUGGGUCCCUUCCAACUCAGCAUAUUCUGUGAUUCCGUGAAAGAAGGUGCUUGGAACCUAAGCCUUCUCCUUGCCUGAGCAGCUGGAAUUUUGCUUUCCCAAAAUUCAGUGUCCUGACUUAACUCUUUAACUGACCCAUAUCCCUCAGGACUGCAAACUACACUAGUGUACAAUCACCAUAGUCCAGACUGCCUCCAAUCUCUGUCACCAAUUAGCUCACUUGCACUGGUGAUGAACAGGUUCACUAUGGCAUCCCCUUUGGUUAGAGUUGUCUAUUACCUGUCUUCAGAAGUUACCCUCGAUGCACUCCAUGGGUCUCCUGAUUUCCAACAGCUCUCUGCACUACAGAAGUCUUAAAUGUUCCUCAGUCUGGACAAAAUCAUUCUGGAAAUCUCAUAGUUUUGCCUGCAAUGUAAACUUUCAGACAGAUCUUCUGUGGAACUUACAAAUCACUUUGCCUUUUGCAUUCUUUCGUAAUGCUGUUUUUCUGAUGCUUGAGAAACUCAUCUUUGUCAACUCUGUAUUUGAAAAAGAUUAAUUAAUUUUUAACAAAACAACAUUCAUUUUCCUCACUCUAAAAUUCAUUUUAACUCUUACCAGAUUUCUUUCUAUGUUUCAUGAGAAAAAAAAUUGAGUCAUCUAAGUUGUGAAGUUAUCUUUACAUCUCAAAAUUUGUAAUAGAUCAUUUACUACCUCCUGAAACAUUCCCGGGGCAUUCAUGACUCAUGAAGGUAUUCAUUGGGUCUGAAACCUCUGUGGGUGUCUCAAAAGUAGUUCUUGCUUUAUCUGUAAGUGUUAGUUUCAUGUGGUGACAUCCAAAUGCUGAAACCAAACUACUGAAAGAUUUUUCUCCUGAUACUUUAAUGAGUUAAUCAGAUAAGUAUGGAAAUGGGUAGCUGCCUUCAAUUGACUGAAGUUUUUCGUAGUCAACAGAAUCCUUUACUUACCAUUAGAUUUAUUUUUUUUUUCAAAUUGUGAUUAAGAGGUUCAAAUAAUAUGCAUAUGGUUUAUCUACACUGGCUUUCAGAAUGUGAUUAAUUACCUUUUUACCAUUGUCUUAUGUAGUAAGAAGUUGUUCAAUGGAAACACUCUGGGACCACAUUCCAGCCUUACAUCCAGCAAUAAUUUUCUCAGUCUUAUUUUUGGGGAACAGCAUAGUAAUCAAGGGCUAAAUCAAUGGCUCUGAUGUCUGCUUUUUGCUACACAUAGGUGUUUUUUUCUAAUACUGCUUUCAAAUACCUAACAGAUGAGAAUCUUAAAGACAUUUAUAAUGUUGGACAUUAUUCAAUGAUCUUAUUUCUAAUUACUCAUUUGCCCUAUGCAUUCAUAAUGAUGGCUCUUACCCAGAAUUCUAGUUUUAGUCUAGGUUGAAAUAGAAGGCCAAAAUAGAAUUUCUCUCUUCAAACAAUUUGGAAAGUUCAUUUUGACUGUGCCUUUCCUAGACAUUAUGCUUAGCUGAAAGAAGAGUAAUUCGUUACAUUCACAUAGUAGCUACAGGAGGUAUCCUUAUCGCUGCAAGAAUCUAAAUUUCCUCAUACCCAUUCACUAGCAGUAUCUGAAUAUUUGUCAAGAUUGUCUAUUUCCUUAUCGUAACACAAGUUUUAAAAAUAUUUUUCAAUUAAAUUCUCUCUCAACAUAACAUAAAAAAAUAUAAUUUAGCAUAAGAAAUAGCCAUUAAUAUGAAAAAGUCCCAUAUUCUGCAUGAGAUGGACUUUUUCUGUUGUCUAUACUACCUGGGUGAUGAUGAACAGUAGCCUAUAUAUUUUCUCCAGUAUAUACUGGAGAAAAUGCUUUCUUUCUGUCAGCACAGCUUAUUAUUUAUAGGGCAAAGUUUGUUCACAACAUGAGUUCAGUGUCACUAGGCUUUUCCAGUGUCAGUAUCCUCAAGCAUGUAAAUGAUACUGAGAAUUUCUCUUAAUUAUCAAUUGUAUUAGUAACUUCUAAUUUCUUUCUGACUUCUGGCUUUCAUAUGGCUUAGAAAUUGGCUCUUCAGGAGCCUUUGCCUCCACUGCAUUUGCAAAUGCCAUCUGACUUAGGCUAGUUUAGGCACUGAAAGUGGUCUAGCCACAGCAGUGUAGGACUCCACAGGCUAAUUUCUUUUUUUUAUCUUCUCACCAAGAAGCUUGUUUACAGCUAGUCAGUGUAUGUCUUUAUUGUGUCUCAACAUAGAAAUACUAUUUGGCCUAUUCCUUUAAAAAUCUAUUACGACAAAAGGCAAUGACACUAAGGACUGUGGAAUUAGUGCUACCAUGAAAUAGAGAAUAAAACUGAAAAUAUAACUUUGAGGAUACUACUGUUUAUCUUAUUCCAGUAAAUUUAGACAGGUAAGUUUCUUGUUAGAAGAAAGCAAUUCUUAGUGUGUCUCUGGUGUUUUCAUAUCAUGUGUGGCUUGCCUGGAAGGGACAGAAUGAAAUGCAAGUGCUUCUUUUAUUUACUUUGUCUUAGGGAAAAUCAGAGACCUGAUUAAAGAGGAGUAAGAGAAGGAAAGUCUCUCUGGGCUCUGUUCUGCAACAUAACAUCUCAGUGGUUGCUGGAAUCACAAGCUCUUUGGGUCUUUCACACUGGUAGUUAUAAAUCUUCUUCUUUAGACCCAGGAGCCUAGUGUAAAAUCCAAGGAGCUUAGAAAUGUUACCUUAAUGCUAUUCCCUCAACUGUGCUGAGAGGAAAAUGAACUUGCUUACCCUGUUUAUUGCAAGCCAUAUUCUGAAGCCUUCAUUUACCUCUGGCAGUCAUGUAAUUGAGCCAAUUUCUGUGAUUGUUUAUUCUUUAGCCCUACAUUCAGAACUGGUGAGAGACAGAAUUUAAAAUAUAUCAGAUGCUCAACAGCCCUAAAAUACUCCAUUAAAAAAAAAUCCUAGUCCAUGCUAAAAGUUUUGAUGUUGAGUCUAGCACUUGCAGUUCAGACUGACUGAAGCACAUAGAAAGGACAAUAAAGUGUAAGUUAUCCCUAUUUCACAUAGAAAACAUUUGCUUUUUAUAAUGAAAAUAAUAGUGUGGAGGAGCAUGCUAAUUUUAUCCUAUUGUAAUCACAUUACAUAUGUAGUAGGAAGGAUGUUUAUGCAAUGGAAUGGCUGUGUAUUCAUCCUUAAAUAUAUUGCAGCUCAAAGUAUCCAUACAUGGCAUAGAUCCUUCCCCAGGAACUGGAGUCUCAUCUGCGGCUGCGCAAAACCUUAGCUUUAUACACCAGAAUUUUCUAACUGCCUGUCAAGGGGGAUUAAAAAAAAAAGAAGUGGUUUGCCUACAGAGAAAUUCAUCCCUUCUUGAUUUGUUGGAUAAUAGGUGGUGUUAAUUUAAUUGAAUGUUGUAAAAUACUUAAUCUCAAAUGGAUUUUUACUAGAACAAUAGUACAAAAAUCUGUGUCUUUCUAAGAAAUUACCUUCAUAGAUACCCUUGAUUCUUUUUGGAAAAAUAUUUUUUUCUGCUGUGGUGGUUCCAAACCACUGGGGAAUUUAACUCCAAACAAACUGCUCCCCUUCCUCUCACUACCUCCAGUGAGAGAGGGACAAAGGUAGACACUAUGGGUUGAGAUAACUAUUUAUUGAAAACAAACAGCAAUGGAAUAAGAAAGGCACAGUAACAGGAGCAAUAUUUAUAACAAAAGUUUACGAAAAAGAGGGUGAUUUACACCACCUUGACUCAGUUCUGUGUGGCUGCCUACUCAAAGCAAGAUGACGGACAUUCCACAGCUAGCAGUGACAUGCAGUUGUUCCCGAGAUAAAGAAAAGAUGGUGGACGCUCUCCACAGCUAGUGCCACGUGGUGUCCCCAAACAAAGACAAGAUGGAAGAUACUCUGCAGCUGGUGUUCCCCGUCCCCUAGCCGAAGACAACAAAAAACAGUGACAAACAAAUCCCCCAAAAGCUGGAUCAUCUGCAUUGAGCUGUACUGCCCUGCUCUGCUUGGGUUCGAUUCCAUGCUGCACCACCCAGCUUUGCUCAGAAGGAAAAUGUGUCAGUUCUACAACUGGACAAGGUCAUACCUUAUUAUCAUGGAUCUGUGAACAACUGUUUUAGACUCAAGAAGCCAUUCUUUUUUAGGACUGCAGAAGUCAGACUCAAGUUUUGCCAAAAACUUGGUAGGUGUGUUUUACAUCUCACCAUUCAAAUCAAACAGCGCAGCAAACAGAAGCCAUUCUAUGCAGAGGCAGCCAAAGACUAGCUGUAUAAAUCCUACUUUUGGGGAAUAUCAUUAGAAGGCAGCACACUUCCAUGCUACCCUUUUGUAGAGAACACACAGAAUGUUGAAACCAUUCUUUUAAUUACAUUGGUCAUCUGUCGAAGUCCUCACACUUCUUUCAAGAUGAAAAAUGUCUCAUCUUUAUGAUGUUCAUUCCCUUUAGGAUGUGGCUACACAAAUAUCACACUUACUAAGAAGUUAGAGAAGCAAAAGGAAUGGGUAAGAAAUAACUGAGUACAUUCAUCAAAAAAACUUUGACAAGCACAAUACUUGUGGUAAUAAAUGAAGUCUAAAUAAAUAGACAUAUAUUGCGAUAUAAUGAUGAUAUAAAAUAUUUUUAUAUGGGUAUAUACAUAUAUUUUACUAAAGACACAGAAUAUGAAUUUUUUGUUACAUCAGACAAACUACUUGAUCAUCGGACUGACAGAUACUGAAAUCCAUUUGCACAGAGCUAUUCCUCUUGAGAUACUUUGUAUGUUGAGUUAGGAAUUUGUGUCUGAAUUCCAGGUGAAUUACAAACAGGUGUUAUUUUGAUGUUUUGAAACAAGAUUCCACCAGUUACUCUAAUAUUUGCAUUUAAGUCUUCAGUCUUUAAACAGAUGCUUCAGUGUAUUUACUUGUACUUGAUAUCCAAACCAAUAAAAUAUAUCUUUCAUCCCAUUGCUUUUUGUGUGUUUAGAGUUAAGUUCAGAUCUGGUCUUCAUUCACUUCCUUUUUAAUUGUGUAAUUUUAAUUUAGCUAUGAUUAAAAUAUCUGAUUGCCUGCUUUUCAAAAUAUGUGAUGUCUGUGAAAUCUAGAAACAAAAGUUCAGUUAAGUUAAAUGUUGAAGUUCAUAUCCUGGGAGUAAAG